GACGGAGGGUGCAAGUGUUAUCCGGAAUCACUGGGCGUAAAGCGUCUGUAGGUGGUCAAAUAAGUCAACUGUUAAAUCUUGAGGCUCAACCUCAAAAUCGCAGUCGAAACUAUUAGACUAGAGUAUAGUAGGGGUAAAGGGAAUUUCCAGUGGAGCGGUGAAAUGCGUAGAGAUUGGAAAGAACACCGAUGGCGAAGGCACUUUACUGGGCUAUUACUAACACUCAGAGACGAAAGCUAGGGUAGCAAAUGGG
rnacentral:rRNA from 1 species